CCCCUGCCCCACAGCUGGACCUCAGCUGGGCGCUCCUGCCCCCUUCGCAGCGGCGUCACGUGGCCGCUGAGCUCACCGUCAACCGCCAGGCUCAGCUGGAUGCCAACGAUGACUUGUUUUUAUUGUGAUCGUACUCCAGGGAAACCCUGCUGCUGCCCCGCACCCCUCCAGCCCCGCUCAGCAGGACAGCCCGGGAAACCGGCCUCCCGUGGGCGGAGGCCCCCGCUCCCGCAGACCCCUCCCCUCGGCAAGGGCUUUCCCAGAUCUUCCGGGCUCCGGGGCCUUCCUCCAGAAGGAAGUCUCCUCGGCCCCAGGGAAAGCUCUCGAGCGGCCGCAGUCCCCGGGCCGGGGCCUGCCCUCACGCCCCCCGCCGCGGCCCCCUCCCCUCGAGCGCCCGUGCUGGAGCCAGGCUGCCCCGGAAGGAUCUGACCGGCCACUUCCUGCAAUUGUCUCUCUGGACGCAGUCCGCGGGCGUCCAGCGCUCCCAGUCUCUCCAACGCCCGGCCUCUCGGACGUCCCCGCCCACCCUCUCCGUCCCCGGCAGCUCUCCCUCGCCGCCCUCUCAGCAGCCGGCCGCGGGGGACCGGGCGUGCGUGGUCACCGGGGCAACCGCCCGGGCCCGGGCGGAGGUGGAGGGGGGUAGCCGCGCUCUGGCUCCCAGCGAGUCAAAUCGGAGCGGCCGCCAAGGGUGGGCUGGGAGCGCUGCACAGCAAGAGACCCCGCACUGGAGGGAGGAACGGCUUGCCCUUUCUUCAGCUCAGACCACCGCGGCCCUCAAGGCAGCCCGCCCCACCUCCUGGUCCCACUGGGCGUGCCCUCCAGGAAGAGGCGCAGGGAGGUCGGGGAGGGGCCUGUCUGCACUUGAUGGAUGGCACUGAAGAAAUGUCUGGCACUUUCUUUCCCCGUGGGGGAGCUCCAGCUCGAAACCACCAAACUCUUCCAGGACAGCCUUGGUCUCAGAAGACAAGUGGAUCUUCAGGGCUGGGAAGGAUGAGGAAAAUGGAGGCUUGAGGCCAACUGACACACAGCUGUGUGGGUUGUGGAGCUAGAUUCACACCUAAAUGGGCUGCUUGAAGCCCUCUACCACAGGCGCAGCUCCUCCUGGGGCCGAUGGCGGAUGCGGAAGGAGCGCACCGCGUCCAGCAGCGCCAGGGCCAUGCGGGCCACCUCCCGGGCGUGCAGCAGCCCAUUCCG